AAACUUAAAUGAAUUGACGGGACCCCGCACAAGCGGUGGAUUAUGUUGUUUAAUUCGACGCAACGCGAAGAACCUUACCAGGCCUUGACAUACUCGGCAAAGCUCUAGAGAUAGAGUGGAGGUUAUCCGGGAUACAGGUGGUGCAUGGUUGUCGUCAGCUCGUGUCGUGAGAUGUUGGGUUAAGUCCCGCAACGAGCGCAACCCUUGUCUUUAGUUACCAUCAUUCAGUUGGGGACUCUAGAGAGACUGCCGGUGAUAAACCGGAGGAAGGUGGGGAUGACGUCAAAUCAUCAUGCCCCUUAUGGCCUGGGCUACAAACGUAAUACAAUGGCGUAUACAAAGGGAUGCGAAAGGGCGACCUGGAGCAAAACUCACAAAGUACGUCUCAGUUCAGAUUGGAGUCUGCAACUCGACUCCAUGAAGGCGGAAUCGCUAGUAAUCGCGAAUCAGAAAUGUCGCGGUGAAUACGUUCUCGGGCCUU
rnacentral:rRNA from 1 species